ensembl:lncRNA
CACAUCCUGUGCUCAGUCUCCAGUAUGAGCAUGCUUUAAUUUUCCUUACUUUUGUCUUAACAUCAGCUGAAUGGAGUGUUCAUUUUGGUCAUUCAGUUUUGUUUUAUUAUUAUUAUUUUUAUUUAACUAAUAUUAAUUUAUUAAUAGCCUUCUCUGACCUUUUAUAAGAAUCUUUUCUACAUUCAACAUGGCACAGAGACAGAAGAGAGAUGGAACAUUUUCAUAUGCAGCAAAACAAUCCACAGACUCCAUUACAAGGUUUAGAUUCAUUGUGUUUGGAAGUGAUGAGGUUCUGAUAAAUGAAGCUUGUGACACUAUUCUUAGAUCAGCAGAUAGAAUGGAUAGCACUAAAUAUGGGACAUGUGAGUUUAGAGAGGCGUGUGUAAGCGGACGACAUGUCUCUGUAGUAAAAACUCCUGCUUAUGGGCUGGAACACUUGAAAACUUACCUGACCUUCAGAAACAGAGUCAGAUCUAUGAAAAUAGACAUGGAGUUUUGUUACUCACUGGUCUUUCCUGGGCCUCAUGCUUUUUUUUUAGUGCUUGGAGAUGUGCGUAACUCUGGUAAAGAGCAUUACAUUUUACGAGCUCUCAGUGAAGUGUUUGGCCAGGAGGCAUUAGACUACAGUAUGGUCUUAUUUAUGCAUGAAUACAAGGACAGUGAUAUAGGCAGCAACCGAUGUGUGAAAAAGUGCAGGAAAAGGUUCCACAUUUUAAAGAACAAUGAGGAAAAUGUUCUAAAGCUAUUCCAUGAUGCUACUGAGACAAUGAUAAAGCAGAGAAAGGGGAGCUUCUUUACGAAGGAUUUUGACUUGCUAGACAAAGCUGAAGCUUAUUUUAAGACAGAGUUUGAUGCUAAAUAUGAGGAGCGAGAGAGUAUACUGAGAGGAAAUUUGGCAGAAAUGAAAACAACAGAGGAAAAUCUAAGAACAAAAGUUACAGAAAUGGAAAGAAAGAAUUCUGAAAACAUGAGAGAAUUACAAGAUCUGCAUAAAGAACUGGAUGCUCAUAAAGCCAGAAUAAAUCAGUUAAACAAGGAAUUAGAUGAUUCCCAAAGCAGAGAGAAUCAUUUAAGUCAACAGAUGGAUGCUCUCAAAAAGAAAAAAUAUGAACUGAAGGAGGAGCUGUAUGCCCUCAGGUAUUACAAGAGACAGUUAGAUGUAGAACUGACUGCUUUCAACGAGAGAGAGAGAGAAAAAUUCCUGCCCACAAAAAUACAGUUAGAGCAUAACAGAUUACAGGAGCAAAGAGAAGCAGGCCUACAGGCUCCUGUGCAAGAAGAGCAUGACAGACAAAAAACUUUAGAUAAAAGAGAGGUGGAGCUAGAUGAGAGAGAGAAAAAACUGCUGCAGACCACUGGAUCACAGCAUGUUGAUCACAUCUCUACAGCUGUUACUCCCUCUUGUGUCAUAGUGUCUGAAGACAAACCCAAAUCUCAAGAAGACACUGGAUCACUUGAGUCUGAAGGAUUGAAACUUGUGAGACAAGACAGCAAGAAAUUAGAUCCACCUAAUAUGUCUGAAAACAAAGUCAAACCUCAGAGUGAAAGAGAAUGUGAGAUGGAAAGUAGAAUAACAGAUUCACAAACCAGCAGAUUACUUAAAGGUGAAAGACUGAAACCUGUGAGACGGAACAGCAUUCGAGAUCGACCCAGCAUGUCUGAAGACACACUCAAACCUCAAGAAAACACUGGAUACCUUGAGUUUGAAGGACUGGAAAUUAAUUGUGUGACAAAACAGCAAGGAAAUACUGUAGAUUCACUUAAUGUUUUCUGGAGUGAAGAGUGCCAGUAUCCCUCAGAACUGAGUUCUGAGUUCUAGCAUGUAAUGGGAAAUGCUUCAUGUACUCCCACAUGAUAGCAGUGCAUGUGUUUCAUGAACUGUAAGACAUAUAUUUGUACAUCGCAUAUUUGUACUUUAGUAACUAUAUUAGUAAGCAAAAGCUAAUGUCUGUAACUGGUUUUGAUAUGGUUUUUGAUGUUUUCUCAGAAUAUUUUAUGUGUAUAAGUUCUGUUAAAUCUGGCAUUAACAGGUAUGUUGAUCACAGUUACAAUGAGCAUCUUUUUUUCAUGAAAAAUGUGGUUUAGAGGAGAUUGAACACAAAAUGAAAUUUUAAAAUCCUUGGUGAUUAAUCAUAUCAUCUGAUCACAUGCCUGUGUAACUGUUUUCAUUAUUGUGAAAUAGGAAACCUUGUCUAAAGUACUCCCUUGAAGGUUUUAAACUUUGAACUAAACUGAGCAUUAAUGUGAUCUUUUUUAUAAAGCCUGUAAAGUUUUGUAGGAUUGUACUAUUAACAUGCUAUAUGUAAAUAAAUAAUGGCAUAGGCUUAUUAUUUAACA